rnacentral:rRNA from 1 species
UGGGGAAUAUUGGACAAUGGGCGCAAGCCUGAUCCAGCCAUGCCGCGUGAGUGAUGAAGGCCCUAGGGUUGUAAAGCUCUUUCACCGGUGAAGAUAAUGACGGUAACCGGAGAAGAAGCCCCGGCUAACUUCGUGCCAGCAGCCGCGGUAAUACGAAGGGGGCUAGCGUUGUUCGGAUUUACUGGGCGUAAAGCGCACGUAGGCGGACUUUUAAGUCAGGGGUGAAAUCCCGGGGCUCAACCCCGGAACUGCCUUUGAUACUGGAAGUCUUGAGUAUGGUAGAGGUGAGUGGAAUUCCGAGUGUAGAGGUGAAAUUCGUAGAUAUUCGGAGGAACACCAGUGGCGAAGGCGGCGCACUGGACCAUUACUGACGCUGAGGUGCGAAAGCGUGGGGAGCAAACAGG